AGUGAACGCUGGCGGUAGGCCUAACACAUGCAAGUCGAACGGCAGCACAGUAAGAGCUUGCUCUUACGGGUGGCGAGUGGCGGACGGGUGAGGAAUACAUCGGAAUCUACUUUUUCGUGGGGGAUAACGUAGGGAAACUUACGCUAAUACCGCAUACGACCUACGGGUGAAAGCUGGGGAUCUUCGGACCUUGCGCGAUUGAAUGAGCCGAUGUCGGAUUAGCUAGUUGGCGGGGUAAAGGCCCACCAAGGCGACGAUCCGUAGCUGGUCUGAGAGGAUGAUCAGCCACACUGGAACUGAGACACGGUCCAGACUCCUACGGGAGGCAGCAGUGGGGAAUAUUGGACAAUGGGCGCAAGCCUGAUCCAGCCAUACCGCGUGGGUGAAGAAGGCCUUCGGGUUGUAAAGCCCUUUUGUUGGGAAAGAAAAGCGGCAAGUUAAUACCCCGCUGUUCUGACGGUACCCAAAGAAUAAGCACCGGCUAACUUCGUG
rnacentral:rRNA from 1 species